rnacentral:tRNA from 1 species
GGAAAAUUGACUGAGUGGUUUAAGGUGAUUGUUUUGAAAACAGUUAACAGAUAUCCUGUUCAAAGGUUCAAAUCCUUUAUUUUCCA